rnacentral:rRNA from 1 species
AGCUUGCUAUAAUUCUCUAGUGGCGCACGGGUGAGUAACACGUGAGUAACCUGCCCCCAAGAGUGGGAUAGCCCCGGGAAACUGGGAUUAAUACCGCAUAAAAUCGCAAGAUUAAAGCAGCAAUGCGCUUGGGGAUGGGCUCGCGUCCUAUUAGUUAGUUGGUGAGGUAACGGCUCACCAAGGCGAUGACGGGUAGCCGGUCUGAGAGGAUGUCCGGCCACACUGGAACUGAGACACGGUCCAGACACCUACGGGUGGCAGCAGUCGAGAAUCAUUCACAAUGGGGGAAACCCUGAUGGUGCGACGCCGCGUGGGGGAAUGAAGGUCUUCGGAUUGUAAACCCCUGUCAUGUGGGAGCAAAUUAAAAAGAUAGUACCACAAGAGGAAGAGACGGCUAACUCUGUGCCAGCAGCCGCGGUAAUACAGAGGUCUCAAGCGUUGUUCGGAAUCACUGGGCGUAAAGCGUGCGUAGGCGGUUUCGUAAGUCGUGUGUGAAAGGCGGGGGCUCAACCCCCGGACUGCACAUGAUACUGCGAGACUAGAGUAAUGGAGGGGGAACCGGAAUUCUCGGUGUAGCAGUGAAAUGCGUAGAUAUCGAGAGGAACACUCGUGGCGAAGGCGGGUUCCUGGACAUUAACUGACGCUGAGGCACGAAGGCCAGGGGAGCGAAAGGGAUUAGAUACCCCUGUAGUCCUGGC